rnacentral:lncRNA from 1 species
AAGCCAGCCAAGCUUUGGGGUUCCCUCGGUCUCCAGUGCAAAGGAACAGGUGUACUCUCACCUUACAUGGCUUUGCCUGGCCUUCUGAGCAGCUGCAGUCCAGCAGCAGGAGCAGCUUGAACGCCUGGCAACCCCCAGCAUCAGUGGGCACAGAUCUCAUUGCCCCCACCCCACCCAGUGAAAGGUUUUGCGACCUCUACAGCUUGAGACCACCAGCAAAGGCAGCGAAGUGAUGAACACCCAGCCAGGAGGCAAAGGGCACAGCUGACGUUGAGCAUUGCCGAGGACAACGAAAAAUGAUGUUUCGCUGACCUUAACCCAACCCUCCGUCCAUCGUCUUGGGGAAGUUCCAAGCUCUCGGCCUUCAGAGGAAGCUGUGCCUGGACCCAAAUGUGCUCUGUGUGCUUCAGAAAUCCACAAAAAUCUUUCCUUGCAGCCCCAGGCCUCAUGGAGGACAGAUGGGGGCUAGGAGGGUCAAGGGUGAUGGAUCGGGGUGCCAGGGAAAGUGGGGUAACCAGCUGAGAAGGGGAUUGGCCGCACCAGUAUAGACCUUCAUGCAGUCUGUAGAUGAAUUUCUUUCAAGGUGUGGGGGGCAGGUAGGGUACAGGAUUACAGGGAGCCAAAGGAGAAAAAGCAAAUAUGAUCCGUGUCAUUUAUUUUUGCCCAAGUUCCAGCUGGGUAGCAGCCAAGAAGUUCACAGAGGGCUUCGGACUUGCUCCUUCACAUCAGAACCCGUUUAUCUCCUCGUGGUGUACAAAGGAAUGAGGAAGAGGAGGAGAACAAGGAAAGAGAGGAAGAAAGAGAAAGGGAGAGGAGGAAGAAGAAGGUGUUUCAGCUGUGAAUGUAGGAGAAGCGAAAUAAGAAUAACAAAAUUCGAGGCAGAAAGCCCGAGUUUACAUAUGAAGAAGAGAAAAAGGAGAGAUUCAUGUACCUGGGGCUUCUUUAUACCUGCCAUCUCAGUGCCAAGAAUUCGAAGCUCAGUUGCUCGGCCCCAAAGGACCAGACGGAGGGAAACCUGAGUUUUGAAGAUCAAGCCCAGCACCAUCUCUCUGGAGCCACUACCCACUUAGAUGCCC